GUGUAGUUGCGCCGCGAUUUUUUCCGGUGAUCGCGGCUCAGUCGGACUUGCUGACACUCGUAUUUUUUAAGUCUCCUCUUUAAUCCUUUUGAUUAACAAUAAACGGAAUUACGGCUUUUUAUCAACAACUACUAUUUCGUUAUAUAUUUUGGAACGGAAAAGAACAUUUUUUUCUACAUAAAAAGGAGUAACGUAGAAGAAAACAAUGACGAGGAAAGCCUCUAGAUGUGUACUUCUUUCCAGGCAUAGGAUGUUCCGGCCCCUAAUUAUGGAAGUAUAAAAAUCAGUAUUCAUUAAAAUACAAACACUUUAAAGUUUUUCUGCUACAGGCGGAUAUUGGAUCAAUUCCAGGAACAGGUUUUAAAAGAGAUUGCGGUGUAUGAGGAGGUCGACUGUGAAACCAUGGUCUACCAUUGACAAGGGCAACUAGUAAAUUUUUUUAAAAACUUACUUUAAAAACACAUUUUUACUGAUCUAUGAAUAAACAAAAAAUUUCUGAAAUUCUUUUUCUUUCUUUAAUUUAUAUUACUUCAUUAUAAAUAUUAUAAAAUCUUGAAAUCAAUUUCUCCAAUUUGCUAUCAGGUACCAGUACCGGUAUGGGAACCAAAUUUAUUUUUUUUUUAAAUCAGUUAGUAGAUAAUUAAGUUUCAGAUAUUUUAAAAUUGAAUAGUCAUUAAAAACAAGCACAAACACAAAAGCUCAAAACUUUAACAAAUAAGAAAGCGAUUGAAAAAUCAUUU